rnacentral:snRNA from 1 species
AUAUUUACCUGGCAGGGAAGAUACCACGAUCAUGAAGGUGGUUUUCCCAGGGUGAGGCUUAUCCAUUGCACUCCCGGUGUGCCGACCCCUGCGAUGUUCCCAAAUGUGGGAAACUCAACAGCAUAGCUUGUGGCAGUGAGGGACUGCAUUUGCGCUCUCCAC